GACGAACGCUGGCGGCGUGCCUAAUACAUGCAAGUCGAACGCAGUGGGGACGGGUGAGUAACCCGUGGGUAACCUUCCCAUCAAACGGGAUAACACUUGCAAACAGGUGCUAAAUCGAUAUUGAUGGAGGGAUCCGCGGUGCAUUAUCUAGUUGGUGAGGUAACGGUGCACCAAGGCCACGAGGCAUAACCGACCCGAGAGGGUGAUAGGCCACACUGGGACUGAGACACGGCCCAGACUCCUACGGGAGGCAGCAGUAGGGAAUCUUCGGCAAUGGACGAAAGUCUGACCGAGCAACGCCGCGUGAGUUAAGGGGUUUUUCGGAUCGUAAAACUCUGUUGUUAGAGAAGCGGUAUCUAACCAGAAAGCCACGGCUAACUACGUGCCAGCAGCCGCGGUAAUAC
rnacentral:rRNA from 1 species